rnacentral:rRNA from 1 species
GGGUGCUUACCAUGCAGUCGACGAUGAACCACUUCGGUGGGGAUUAGUGGCGAACGGGUGAGUAACACGUGGGCAAUCUGCCCUGCACUCUGGGACAAGCCCUGGAAACGGGGUCUAAUACCGGAUACUGAUCGCCUUGGGCAUCCUUGGUGAUCGAAAGCUCCGGCGGUGCAGGAUGAGCCCGCGGCCUAUCAGCUUGUUGGUGAGGUAAUGGCUCACCAAGGCGACGACGGGUAGCCGGCCUGAGAGGGCGACCGGCCACACUGGGACUGAGACACGGCCCAGACUCCUACGGGAGGCAGCAGUGGGGAAUAUUGCACAAUGGGCGAAAGCCUGAUGCAGCGACGCCGCGUGAGGGAUGACGGCCUUCGGGUUGUAAACCUCUUUCAGCAGGGAAGAAGCGAAAGUGACGGUACCUGCAGAAGAAGCGCCGGCUAACUACGUGCCAGCAGCCGCGGUAAUACGUAGGGCGCGAGCGUUGUCCGGAAUUAUUGGGCGUAAAGAGCUCGUAGGCGGCUUGUCGCGUCGGUUGUGAAAGCCCGGGGCUUAACCCCGGUCUGCAGUCGAUACGGGCAGGCUAGAGUUCGGUAGGGGAGAUCGGAAUUCCUGGUGUAGCGGUGAAAUGCGCAGAUAUCAGGAGGAACACCGGUGGCGAAGGCGGAUCUCUGGGCCG